UCGAUCAUGCCGCGGAGGAGAGAAAGGCAGAGCUCUACGUUGAGUGCUCUCUGUACAUUGACGGUGCUCCAUUUGGUCUUCCCACCAGAACGAGGUCUGGGAUGUUUCUUGUGGAAAAGAGGAGGGGUUGAUUGGUGGGGCUACGAUUCUUCUAUUUAGCAGCAAAAAGCAGCUAAAACUGGGAAGCAGAAGCUUAGACUUUGGCAAGGAAAGGAAGCUGAUGGCUCAUUUCCAACAAAUACUCCUGGAAAGGUCCCUAAGCAUGAGCGGGGCGAGCUGGAGCGCUUGGAAAAGCUUAUGAAUAAAUAUGAAAAAGGACAGAUUCAACGAAUUGAUUGGCUAGACCACCUUGCAUUUAAAGCUAUGGACAAAGUCAAGGAACGGGAGAGCAAUAAAAUUGGAAACUCCCAUCUAUACCUGGUCGU